GAUCCCAGGUAUACAGUGUGAACUACCGGGUCCCAGGUAUACAGUGUGAACUACCGGGUCCCAGGUAUACAGUGUGAACUACCAGAUCCCAGGUAUACAGUGUGAACUACCGGGUCCCAGGUAUACAGUGUGAACUACCGGGUCCCAGGUAUACAGUGUGAACUACCAGAUCCCAGGUAUACAGUGUGAACUACCAGAUCCCAGGUAUACAGUGUGAACUACCGGGUCCCAGGUAUACAGUGUGAACUAACAGAUCCCAGGUAUACAGUGUGAACUACCGGGUCCCAGGUAUACAGUGUGAACUACCGGGUCCCAGGUAUACAGUGUGAACUACCGGGUCCCAGGUAUACAGUGUGAACUACCGGGUCCCAGGUAUACAGUGUGAACUACCGGGUCCCAGGUAUACAGUGUGAACUACCGGGUCCCAGGUAUACAGUGUGAACUACCGGGUCCCAGGUAUACAGUGUGAACUACCGGGUCCCAGGUAUACAGUGUGAACUACCGGGUCCCAGGUAUACAGUGUGAACUACCGGGUCCCAGGUAUACAGUGUGAACUACCAGAUCCCAGGUAUACAGUGUGAACUACGGGGUCCCAGGUAUACAGUGUGAACUACCAGAUCCCAGGUAUACAGUGUGAGAGAGAAGCCCAGAGCUUCAUGCUUCCUAGGCAAGCUCUAUCAACCUCAGCCCUGAAACUGACUGUUCAUCAUUGUUUAGUAUUGACAUCAUGGUAAUUUAUAGAAUCCUUUACAUUAGUUUACAGUAAUUUAUAGCACUUUUCUUUCUUGAUCUAGUAAAUGAUAAUGUGAAAUAAGUAGCUUAACAAAAUCUGAACAUUUUCUUGGAGUAUUGACUGACCUAAACAGAUUGUAAUUUUAAAAACUGUUUUACUUAACAUUACAGAACAAAUAUUUUUUUUGUGCGUGUGUGUGUGUGGGACAUAAUAGGUGCCUGUGUCUGUUUUUGACA